rnacentral:rRNA from 1 species
ACUCCUACGGGAGGCAGCAGUGGGGAAUAUUGGACAAUGGGGCACCCGUAGCAUCCAGCCAUGCCGCGUGUAUGAAGAAGGACCCCUCGGGUUGUAAAGUACUUUCAGUGGUGAGGAAGGUUGCGUGGUUAAUACCCACGUAAUUUGACGUUAGCCACAGAAGAAGCACCGGCUAACUCCGUGCCAGCAGCCGCGGUAAUACGGAGGGUGCAAGCGUUAAUCGGAAUUACUGGGCGUAAAGCGCAUGCAGGCGGUU